CAGUAGCCACGGUAAAACGAAGGGUGCAAGCGUUACUCGGAAUUACUGGGCGUAAAGCGUGCGUAGGUGGUGGUUUAAGUCCGUUGUGAAAGCCCUGGGCUCAACCUGGGAAUUGCAGUGGAUACUGGGUCACUAGAGUGUGGUAGAGGAUAGUGGAAUUUCCGGUGUAGCAGUGAAAUGCGUAGAGAUCGGAAGGAACAUCUGUGGCGAAGGCGACUAUCUGGGCCAACACUGACACUGAGGCACGAAAGCGUGGGGAGCAAACAGGAUUAGAGACCCGCGUAGUCCCUGUCUCUUAUAC
rnacentral:rRNA from 1 species